AACGCGAAGAACCUUACCUGGGCUCGAAAUGUAGAGGACGAUAUCAGAGAUGAUAUUUCUCGAAAGAGUCUUUACAUAGGUGCUGCAUGGCUGUCGUCAGCUCGUGCCGUGAGGUGUUUGGUUAAGUCCAGCAACGAGCGCAACCCUUAUCGUUAGUUGCCAGCGCGUCAAGGCGGGAACUCUAACGAGACUGCCUGGGUUAACCAGGAGGAAGGUGAGGAUGACGUCAAGUCCGCAUGGCCUUUAUGUCCAGGGCUACACACGUGCUACAAUGGUCGGUACAGAAGGCGGCUAAACCGUAAGGUGGAGCAAAUCCUUCAAAGCCGAUCUCAGUUCAGAUUGUGGACUGCAACUCGUCCACAUGAAGUUGGAAUUGCUAGUAAUGGCGUGUCAGCAACACGCCGUGAAUACGUUCCCGGGCCUUGUACACACCGGUACUA
rnacentral:rRNA from 1 species